rnacentral:rRNA from 1 species
AGUGGCGGACGGGUGAGUAACGCGUGAGAAUCUGCCUUGGGGUCGGGGACAACCACUGGAAACGGUGGCUAAUACCGGAUAAGCCGAUUGGUGAAAGAUUUAUUGCCCGAAGAGGAGCUCGCGUCUGAUUAGCUAGUUGGUGAGGUAAGAGCUCACCAAGGCAGCGAUCAGUAGCUGGUCUGAGAGGACGAUCAGCCACACUGGGACUGAGGCACGGCCCAGACUCCUACGGGAGGCAGCAGUGGGGAAUUUUCCGCAAUGGGCGAAAGCCUGACGGAGCAAGACCGCGUGAGGGAGGAAGGCUCUUGGGUUGUAAACCUCUUUUCUCAGGGAAGAAGCUCUGACGGUACCUGAGGAAUCAGCCUCGGCUAACUCCGUGCCAGCAGCCGCGGUAAUACGGAGGAGGCAAGCGUUAUCCGGAAUUAUUGGGCGUAAAGCGUCCGCAGGUGGCGAUUCAAGUCUGCUGUCAAAGCACGGGGCUUAACUCCGUAAAGGCAGUGGAAACUGAAUAGCUAGAGUGCCGUAGGGGUAGAGGGAAUUCCCGGUGUAGCGGUGAAAUGCGUAGAGAUCGGGAAGAACAUCGGUGGCGAAAGCGCUCUACUGGACGGCAACUGACACUCAGGGACGAAAGCUAGGGGAGCGAAUGGGAUUAGAUACCCC